rnacentral:lncRNA from 1 species
UUUUUUCAGAUAGGGUUUCGUUUCCCAUUUCCUUAGUUCCUGCCGCCCUCACGCCCCACCCAUUCUACCAUCUCCGCCGCGCCGAGCCCCUCCCGACCCCGCCCACCGCGCCGUGCCGCUCCCCCGCGCCGUGCCGCUCCCCCGCGCCGCGCCCAGUUCCCAGCAAGAUCCGCGCCCAGAUUUGACGGUUAAUUUGGGGAUCUAGGGUUCCAAUUUGGGCUCCACCACCUCCCACCGCCGUCGCGCCACCUCCCACCGCUGAAGCAACCACUGACGCCAGCCACCGACGAAUAUGUAGGUUUUUGGCUCCGAUCUGGGUGUUCCACCGCCUCUCGGUCUCUCCUCCCCUCUUUUAGAUUUAUUUUUGUAGAUCUAAAGCUAAUAUGUAGCCACCGGCGAAUAGAUCUCGGGCGGAUCUUGGAAUACUUAAGUGGGUUUCGAUUUGUUUUGAUUUUGUUCGAUUUUUGUUUCUCUUGUCUUGAAUGUGCUGUGGAUUUAUUUUUCUUUCUCAUACACUCCAUUUCCAAACUUUGACGCUACAGAGGAUGCGAAGCCAAUAUUUGAGUUUGUGAUAUUUUUUAGUGUGUUAUGAUAUUCUUCUAAUUUCUCUUUAGUCGUGUUAUUACGCUUGAGCAAGGGAUUUGCAAUUGGUUCUGCAGCAUUAGCAUCUUUUCUUCUGUUUAGUGCAUACAUGGAUGAAGUAGGUUCAUUUGCACAUGUACAAUUUCAUCAGGUAAGCAUUCUAGUUCUUGCUAAAAAAAAUUUAUCCCUGCUAUUUGUUUACCUAUGAAAUAGGGGAUGCCUGAAUCAAAGAACUCUUGUUAGGACCUGUCUACUUGGUUUGAUUACUGACUUUAUUAUAUUUUUUGUUUAAUCUAUUAGUUUCAUAUCUUCUUGAACUAUUACAGGUUGAUAUCGCCAUUCCUGAAGUGUUUAUUUGUGGGCUUCUGGGCUCUAUGCUUAUAUUUCUAUUUAGUGCAGAUGGAAACAUGGAAACAUGCAGCCUGAAAAACCUAUUUGUGAGCAGAUGCUCUAGUUGUUACGCUUGAGUGUAGGAACGCUGGCGAUUAUUAGACUGUGCAGUAUCAAGUUCACCCUCUCUGUUUCUUCUUUUUUCCCCUGUGUCUGUUCCAACUGUUAGUACUGGUUUCUUUUGAAUUUGUCUAAUUCUUUGUAUUACUUUUUUGUUGGUUUUUAUUUAAUUUGAAUAUUUUUUAUAUUUGUAGGAUGCUAUUUGCAAGGAGAUUCAAGACCCAAUGCCAUGUUUUAUGAAAUUAUGUUUAUUAUGUAAUUUUGAUACUUUUUUUGGGAUUUAUUUUGUGAUUUUGUAUUGUGGAUUGAAAUUUGUGGAGUGAACUACAAAAUAGGUUGUAUAUAUUAUUAAUACACGAACCGAGCUCAAACUCGAGCCUGAAUUCGAAUUCAAGCUCGAGUUCGGUUUUGAAAUCGAACUCUAAAA